rnacentral:rRNA from 1 species
CGAACGGGUGAGUAAUGCGUGACCAACCUGCCCCAUGCUCCAGAAUAGCUCUUGGAAACGGGUGGUAAUGCUGGAUGCUCCAACUUGACGCAUGUCUUGUUGGGAAAGUGUUUAGUGGCAUGGGAUGGGGUCGCGUCCUAUCAGCUUGUAGGCGGGGUAAUGGCCCACCUAGGCUUCGACGGGUAGCCGGCCUGAGAGGGCGGACGGCCACAUUGGGACUGAGAUACGGCCCAGACUCCGUACGGGGAGGCAGCAGCCC